CCUACGGGUGGCAGCAGUGGGGAAUAUUGGACAAUGGGCGAAAGCCUGAUCCAGCCAUGCCGCGUGUGUGAAGAAGGCCUUCGGGUUGUAAAGCACUUUCAGUGGGGAAGAAAGCCUUGGGGCUAAUACCCUCGAGGAAGGACAUCACCCACAGAAGAAGCACCGGCUAACUCCGUGCCAGCAGCCGCGGUAAUACGGAGGGUGCGAGCGUUAAUCGGAAUUACUGGGCGUAAAGCGCGCGUAGGCGGUCUGAUAAGCCGGUUGUGAGAGCCCCGGGCUCAACCUGGGAACGGCAUCCGGAACUGUCAGGCUAGAGUGCAGGAGAGGAAGGUAGAAUUCCCGGUGUAGCGGUGAAAUGCGUAGAGAUCGGGAGGAAUACCAGUGGCGAAGGCGGCCUUCUGGACUGACACUGACGCUGAGGUGCGAAAGCGUGGGUAGCAAACAGGAUUAGAUACCCUGGUAGUC
rnacentral:rRNA from 1 species